rnacentral:rRNA from 1 species
AGCAGUCGCCGCGGUAAUACGUAGGGCGCAAGCGUUGUCCGGAAUUAUUGGGCGUAAAGAGCUCGUAGGCGGUCUGUCGCGUCUGGUGUGAAAUCCCGAGGCUCAACCUCGGGCUUGCAUCGGGUACGGGCAGACUAGAGUGCGGUAGGGGAGACUGGAAUUCCUGGUGUAGCGGUGGAAUGCGCAGAUAUCAGGAGGAACACCGAUGGCGAAGGCAGGUCUCUGGGCCGCAACUGACGCUGAGGAGCGAAAGCAUGGGGAGCGAACAGGAUUAGAUACCCCUGUAGUCCCUGUCUCUUAUAC